CUCGGCAACGGAUAUCUCGGCUCUCGCAUCGAUGAAGAACGUAGCGAAAUGCGAUACUUGGUGUGAAUUGCAGAAUCCCGUGAACCAUCGAGUCUUUGAAUGCAAGUUGCGCCCGAAGCCAUUAGGCUGAGGGCACGUCUGCCUGGGCGUCACGC
rnacentral:rRNA from 1 species